rnacentral:lncRNA from 1 species
AUACUGCACCAAAAAAAAAAUGGUUUGGCCUUUUUUCCUUCCUUUCUCCUUUCCUCUGUCCUUCUUUCUCUCUCUCUCUGUCUCUUUCUUUGUCUUUCUCCCUUCCUUCCUUCCUUCCUUCCUUCCUUCCUUCCUUCCUUCCUUCCUUCCUUCCUUCCUUCCUUCCUUCCUUCCUUCCUUCCUUCCUUCCUUCCUUCCUUCCUUCCUUCCUUCCUUCCUUCCUUCCUUCCUUCCUCUCUUUUUUUCCUUCCUUCCCUCCCUGCCUCCUUCCCUCCAUUCCUUCCUUCCUUCCUUCCUUCCUUCCUUCCUUCCUUCCUUCCUUCCUUCCUUCCUUCCUUCCUUCCUUCCUUCCUUCCUUCCUUCCUUCCUUCCUUCCUUCCUUCCUUCCUUCCUUCCUUUUUUCUUAUUCAUUCCUUCCCUCUCUCCUCAGAUUUCAAUCUCUUCCUUUAUAGGAUUCAUGAAUGAUGUAUUUUGGAGAACAAAACUAAACACAAACUUUAUCAAGAUGUACCCGUUUAGAUCAUUUGGUGGUCAGUUUUUGUAGUCCUCAUACACAGAAUUCCUAAGAAAGGCAACGGGAACAUAUCAGUGAUUCUUUUCAAUCUAGACCCAUAGUCAACAUGCUUGGUAUUUUAUAUUUUUAUAUUUUAUCUUUUAGCAGAGAUAGGACAGACUAUAAGAGAAACCAUGUCCUUUGGAUUGAGCUCUUACAUGAGUUAUAUUUUUUUUUUUUCUGAUCAAUGAAGACUUCAAUCCAGAGAACAUUCCUGGCAGUGUUAUCCUUUGCUAUGAACUAUUAAAGCUGACACUUGUACCUAUUCUACAUACGCCUUACUAGUCAGUAAGCUAUGUGCCUUUCACCAUCAUUUUCUCUGCACUUAGGAAUUAAGGUAAGUCUGAGUCUCCAUGAUGUCUGCUCCAUAAGUCCUCUAUGUCACCAUGGAAAUGAAUAACUUUGAACUGAAAAUGGUUUUCAUCUAACAAGGUUUCUUUGUGUAUAACAUUAAGAAUAAUUUAAAAAAACUGUUUCUCCCCCAUGAAGAAAAUGCACAAUAAUCUGUAGUUGACUUGCUUGUUGGUUUUCCAGCAUCCAAAUGACAAACAAGAUGAAGCCAAUGCCAGGCAAACAUCACAAUGAAGCUAAGAAGUUCAAGAAGAUACAACAUAGUUAGUUACCACUAUUGAUGAUUAAUUUUUCCAAAACACAUUAAAACAUUUUUUCUGAUAUAUUUAUAAAUGAAAUCCUUGUGUCAUUGCAUGUGUGCUUGGCUGAAAAACUUCCAGAGAAAUCAAUAACAAGAGGUCAAUUACAAUGAAAACCUGCUCAAAAAGGGAUUUAAGACAUUUAAAUUCAUGAAUUCAAUAACGCAUCGAUCUUUUUUUCCUAAUACUAUUGAAUAUAAGUAAGAAAAGACCAAUGUGUUAUUGAACUCAUGAAUCGGUACAUAUAUAUGCAUAUAUUCCAAUUUUAUAUAUUCAUAUAUUUUUCCAAUGUAAAAAUAUUUCAAGGGCAAAGAGACAAUGGAAAUAAGAGCCAGGGGUUUGCGGAAUGAUUUCCCUUCCUGAAAUAAUUGGAAAUACAGACUGUUAAUAGUUGACUAAGUACACUAGCAAGUACAAUCAGAUUCUAUAUUCUAAAAAAAGUCAUUACCAUGUAUUUUAAACCCCAAAAUAUUUUAAAACAAUUUCAGUCAUUUGGACUUCCUUAGUAUUUUACAUUAAAGUUUUUAUAUGAAGGGUUUUGUGUGUGUGUGUGUGUGUGUGUGUGUGUGUGUGCGCAUGAACACACAACUGAAUGUGUGUGUAUUUGUAUAUAUGAACAAUUUCUUUAGUAUUUUUUUGGUAUGUUGCAUAUGGCCAGAAAGGACUUUGUUAGCCUCCCUGGCAUGAUAUAAAUGAAUCAUCAGUAUUAGUAAAGAAGAUAAUAAAUACAAAUUUUCUGGUGUCCA